ensembl:snRNA U2 U2 spliceosomal RNA
AUCACAUCUCUACCUUUUGGCUAAGAUCAAGUGUACUAAUUGUUCUUAUCAGUUAAAUAUCUGAUACGUCCUUUAUAUGAGGACUAUAUAUUAAACAGAUUUUUAGAGCACCGAGAUGGAAGAGGAGCUUGCUCUGUCCGCUCCAUGCAUUGAUCUUGUAUUACUGUACCUCCAGGAACAGUGCAACUCCU